CUCCCUCACUCUCUCGGUCUGGUUCCUUACUUCUUAUUUCGAGUUUUGUAAGGCGUGUAUUGUGUGGAAGCAGCAAUCAGAAUUUUAUCAGGUUAAUUUAGGUGCAAGUUGUGUAGUGUCUUAAUCCUGCUGGUAUCCCAAAUCUUUUCCGGGUUUUUUGUUCUUGUAAUUCGAUGCAUGAUGUCUAAUUCUUGGUCGUCGUGGGAUGGCAGCUAUACUCUGGAUUGCUGCACAAAAUGGAGGUCAGCACCUUUUUUUUUCGUUUUUUGAAUUUUCGUUUCAUUUGUUCUAGAUAAGUGCCUCCUUGUAUCCGAACAGAUUGCAUGUGUACAAAUGCGGUUCAUCCUUCAUAAUGUGAAGAUUAUCUUAUUCAGAGCUCUAGAAAUAAGCAGGUGUUGGUUUCAUAUGUACAGGCGGAGAUGAAGCAAAUGGCAGAGGAAAUGAAAACAAAGGAUGAGGAAGUGAACAGAUUGCUGCAAGAGAACAAGGAGUACCAGUCAACCGUGAAAGUGCUGAAGAAUGAGUUGGAUCUCAAUAGGCGCUCUGACAAGGAGAUGCUGUUGCGGCUUGAAACUCAGAAGAAAGAAAUCGAGCACGAGUAUCAGGAAACGAUCCACUCUCUUGAGUCUGAACUUCAAAAUUCUUACGAGAAGUUGAAGAACUUAGAAGCCAAUGCAGAAAGGGAAAUGAGUAAUCUGAAACUGAAGGAUACUCAGUAUCAAAAUUUCCUCUCAAGUCAGCUCCUUGAAUACAAGGUACACAAUGGGUCUGUUAGCUUCUAUCCCAAGAACUGCAAAUACACUAAAUGUUUUGAGCUUUCGCUUCUGCUCUUUUCUGAGGGCAAGAUACAAAGUCACAUUAUUGACCGCUCAUUAAACAAUUGAUUGUCUGCAGGAUCUCAGGUUGUCCCAACUCGACACGAGGAACGAGUUUUUGAGAAUGCAGACAGAGUGGAAUGAUCAGUUCAGUAUGCUUGGUGAGUGGCAAUAUACCUUUCCAAUUUAUGUAGAUGUCCUUGUUUGCUUUUGAUUGACCUCUUUUUGCUUACAUGAAUCCUUCUCCCUUGCUUGUGCAGAAGAACAGCUUCAGAGUAUGGCUCGAGCAGCAU
rnacentral:lncRNA from 1 species